rnacentral:rRNA from 1 species
UGCAGUCGAACGGUAGCACAGAGAGCUUGCUCUCGGGUGACGAGUGGCGGACGGGUGAGUAAUGUCUGGGAAACUGCCUGAUGGAGGGGGAUAACUACUGGAAACGGUAGCUAAUACCGCAUAACGUCGCAAGACCAAAGAGGGNGACCUUCGGGCCUCUUGCCAUCAGAUGUGCCCAGAUGGGAUUAGCUAGUAGGUGGGGUAAUGGCUCACCUAGGCGACGAUCCCUAGCUGGUCUGAGAGGAUGACCAGCCACACUGGAACUGAGACACGGUCCAGACUCCUACGGGAGGCAGCAGUGGGGAAUAUUGCACAAUGGGCGCAAGCCUGAUGCAGCCAUGCCGCGUGUAUGAAGAAGGCCUUCGGGUUGUAAAGUACUUUCAGCGGGGAGGAAGGUGUUGUGGUUAAUAACCGCAGCAAUUGACGUUACCCGCAGAAGAAGCACCGGCUAACUCCGUGCCAGCAGCCGCGGUAAUACGGAGGGUGCAAGCGUUGAUCGGAAUUACUGGGCGUAAAGCGCACGCAGGCGGUCUGUCAAGUCGGAUGUGAAAUCCCCGGGCUCAACCUGGGAACUGCAUUCGAAACUGGCAGGCUAGAGUCUUGUAGAGGGGGGUAGAAUUCCAGGUGUAGCGGUGAAAUGCGUAGAGAUCUGGAGGAAUACCGGUGGCGAAGGCGGCCCCCUGGACAAAGACUGACGCUCAGGUGCGAAAGCGUGGGGAGCAAACAGGANUAGAUACCCUGGUAGUCCACGCCGUAAACNAUGUCGACUUGGANGUUGUUCCCUUGAGGAGUGGCUUCCGGAGCUAACGCGUUAAGUCGACCGCCUGGGGAGUANNNNCGCANGGNUAAAACUCAAAUGAAUUGANNNGGGCCCGCACAAGCGGNNGNAGCAUGUGGUUU